AGAGUUUGAUCAUGGCUCAGAGCGAACGCUGGCGGCAGGCCUAACACAUGCAAGUCGAGCGGCCGUAGCAAUACGGCAGCGGCAGACGGGAGAGUAACACGUGGGAACGCGCCCUUCGGUUCGGAAUAACUCAGGGAAACUUGGGCUAAUACCGGAUACGCCCUAACGGGGAAAGAUUUAUUGCCGAAGGAACGGCCCGCGUCCGAUUAGCUUGUUGGUGAGGUAACGGCUCACCAAGGCGACGAUCGGUAGCUGGUCUGAGAGGAUGACCAGCCUCACUGGGACUGAGACACGGCCCAGACUCCUACGGGAGGCAGCAGUGGGGAAUAUUGGACAAUGGGCGCAAGCCUGAUCCAGCCAUGCCGCGUGGGUGAUGAAGGCCCUAGGGUUGUAAAGCCCUUUCAGCGGGGAAGAUAAUGACGGUACCCGCAGAAGAAGCCCCGGCUAACUUCGUGCCAGCAGCCGCGGUA
rnacentral:rRNA from 1 species